CAUGAACAGUUUAUUCGCUAAAAUCUAAAUCGUAGCAAAUUAAAAUCUGAUGGCAAAAUGUAGGCAAAAGUAAUUAUAGUCAUUAGAUGUCAUAGUCAUAACUUGUCUGUUUUUGGCUGAAUUUGACUGCUGACAGGGUUAUUCAUUAAAGUCUCAUUGGCCCCUUACAAAACCAUACGACUGUGUAUAUUCUGUGUAUAUUCUGAUUGCAAAAUAAAGACUAUCUUCAUAAGAAGUCCGAAGUUUGUCUGGAUUUCAGCCAGAAAGCUAAAAUGCAUAAAAUGUGGGCAACGGACACGUACAAAGACACUUUAUUCACCAGAAGAACUACAGCUUAAGGUAGCUGUUCUGGUAAGUAUAGUCCAUACCUUCAGGCUUUUUGCUGUAAAAACUGCCUUUUCAGAACACCUCCAGUUACAUAGGAACACCUCCAGUGACAGUCACUCAGACAGCCACUACAGGUGUUUCCUGAAUUAGUGCUGCACAACUUUCCUCAUGUAGAUACCUUGGUUCAAUGCAUCCCUAUGAGGAGAUGCUGAUAUGCCAGCACGGCGUUUGGCUUCACCCCACCCCCGCCUGUAGGAAAGCAUUGGAUUGGCUGAGAUUGUCAAUUCUGAUGAUCUCAGCCAGGGAGGCAUAUUGGGGACGGAGCCAAUGCCAGCAGACCCUUUGUAGUGCUGGAGUAAAGGUAAAUGUAUUUAUUUAUUUUUAAAUAAAAAAAAAAAAAUCCCCUUAUUUAAGGGGGCAAGUGUGGGCUGGUAACCUAAAUGGUGAUUUUAACAUUAUAGGGUUAGGAAUACACAUUUGCAUUCCCAACCCUAUAGUGCUCCUUUAAAAUCCAGGCUCAUAUUUUAAAUCUGUGAACUAUUUCCCGGCUAGGCAGCAUAGUGUUAAAACAUAAAUAAAUACAUUAAAAAAA